CAGCAGCCACGGGAAUAAGUAGGGUGCAAGCGUUAAUCGGAAUUACUGGGCGUAAAGCGUGCGCAGGCGGUUAUAUAAGACAGAUGUGAAAUCCCCGGGCUCAACCUGGGAACUGCAUUUGUGACUGUAUAGCUAGAGUACGGCAGAGGGGGAUGGAAUUCCGCGUGUAGCAGUGAAAUGCGUAGAUAUGCGGAGGAACACCGAUGGCGAAGGCAAUCCCCUGGGCCUGUACUGACGCUCAUGCACGAAAGCGUGGGGAGCAAACAGGAUUAGAUACCCCGGUAGUCCCUGUCUCUUAUAC
rnacentral:rRNA from 1 species